AGCUGGAUAGCUCAGUCGGUAGAAUGUAAUACUCUUAAUCUCAGGGUUGUGGGUUCAUGCCCCACCUUGGCCA